rnacentral:rRNA from 1 species
GUCGAGCGGAACGAUGGGAGCUUGCUCCCAGGCGUCGAGCGGCGGACGGGUGAGUAACACUUAGGAAUCUACCUAGUAGUGGGGGAUAGCUCGGGGAAACUCGAAUUAAUACCGCAUACGACCUACGGGAGAAAGGGGGCAGUUUACUGCUCUCGCUAUUAGAUGAGCCUAAGUCGGAUUAGCUAGAUGGUGGGGUAAAGGCCUACCAUGGCGACGAUCUGUAGCUGGUCUGAGAGGAUGAUCAGCCACACCGGGACUGAGACACGGCCCGGACUCCUACGGGAGGCAGCAGUGGGGAAUAUUGGACAAUGGGGGAAACCCUGAUCCAGCCAUGCCGCGUGUGUGAAGAAGGCCUUUUGGUUGUAAAGCACUUUAAGCAGUGAAGAAGACCUAACGGUUAAUACCCGUUAGCGAUGACAUUAGCUGCAGAAUAAGCACCGGCUAACUCUGUGCCAGCAGCCGCGGUAAUACAGAGGGUGCAAGCGUUAAUCGGAAUUACUGGGCGUAAAGCGAGCGUAGGUGGCUUGAUAAGUCAGAUGUGAAAUCCCCGGGCUUAACCUGGGAACUGCAUCUGAUACUGUUAAGCUAGAGUAGGUGAGAGGGAAGUAGAAUUCCAGGUGUAGCGGUGAAAUGCGUAGAGAUCUGGAGGAAUACCGAUGGCGAAGGCAGCUUCCUGGCAUCAUACUGACACUGAGGCUCGAAAGCGUGGGUAGCAAACAGGAUUAGAUACCCUGGUAGUCCACGCCGUAAACGAUGUCUACUAGUCGUUGGGUCCCUUGAGGACUUAGUGACGCAGCUAACGCAAUAAGUAGACCGCCUGGGGAGUACGGCCGCAAGGUUAAAACUCAAAUGAAUUGAC